UACGGGGGGGAGCAAGCGUUGUUCGGAUUUACUGGGCGUAAAGGGCGCGUAGGCGGCGUGACAAGUCACUUGUGAAAUCUCCGGGCUUAACUCGGAACGGUCAAGUGAUACUGUCGUGCUAGAGUACAGAAGGGGCAACUGGAAUUCUCGGUGUAGCGGUGAAAUGCGUAGAUAUCGAGAGGAACACCUGCGGCGAAGGCGGCGACCUGGUUGGAUACUGACGCUGAGGCGCGAAAGCGUGGGGAGCAAACAGG
rnacentral:rRNA from 1 species